ACGGGGGGUGCAAGCGUUACUCGGAAUUACUGGGCGUAAAGGAUGCGUAGGCGGAAGAUCAAGUCAGAAGUGAAAUACAACAGCUUAACUGUUGAACUGCUUUUGAAACUGUUUUUCUAGAAUAUGGGAGAGGUAGAUGGAAUUGGUGGUGUAGGGGUAAAAUCCGUAGAUAUCACCAGGAAUACCGAUUGCGAAGGCGAUCUACUGGAACAUUAUUGACGCUGAGGCAUGAAAGCGUGGGUAGCAAACAG
rnacentral:rRNA from 1 species